rnacentral:rRNA from 1 species
UGGCGGACGGGUGAGUAACGCGUGGGCAACCUGCCCCAUACAGGGGGAUAACAGUUAGAAAUGACUGCUAAUACCGCAUAAGCGCACGGCAACGCAUGUUGCUGUGUGAAAAACUCCGGUGGUAUGGGACGGACCCGCGUCCGAUUAGCCAGUUGGCAGGGUAACGGCCUACCAAAGCGACGAUCAGUAGCCGGCCUGAGAGGGUGGACGGCCACAUUGGGACUGAGACACGGCCCAAACUCCUACGGAAGGCAGCAG